rnacentral:misc_RNA from 1 species
CGGUGCUUACAUUGUGAGGCAGGCCGCCAAGAGCAUCGUGGCCAAUGGCCUUGCUCGUCGCUGCAUUGUGCAGGUAUCUUAUGCUAUUGGUGUGCCUGAGCCGCUCUCUGUGUUUGUGGACACUUAUGGCACCGGUAAAAUUCCCGACAGGGAGAUACUAAAGAUCGUGAAGGAGACCUUUGACUUCCGGCCUGGCAUGAUCACCAUCAACCUUGAUCUGAAGAGGGGUGGCAAUGACAGGUUCCUGAAGACUGCUGCCUACGGGCAUUUUGGCCGGGAUGACCCUGACUUCACCUGGGAAGUGAUUAAGCCUCUCAAGUGGGAAAAGCCUACUGCUUAAGCAAGCUUCUUUAUAUCUAGGUGAUUACCAUAUAAUUUCAUCAUUUGCUCAGGCCUCGUCUGGCUCUCAUGACUGUAUGGUUUUAGUUUCGAUUUG